GUCAGGGGUGCACCCACCCCAUGUGCCCAACCUGGUGAGCCCCACUCUGGGAAGUCAGCCCUGGAGGGUGUUUCCUUCAUGGUAAUGAGCAGAGGUGAUGGUGAGGAGCAGAACAGCUCACAUUCACGCCUGGGAGGGGCAAGAGUCAGGAACAGUCUGCCUGGUCAGCCCCAGGACGACUGCAACUGCUUCCAGGUGGAUGCACCAAGAUUCAAAGAGCCUGAUUGUCUGCACAGAGGGCCUGGAAGAUGCUGAGUGAAGGAAGCGAGGUGUGGCUGCAGUUGUCAGACAGACACUGUUCCCUGCACACCUGGAACAGCCUGGCAUGUUCUGGACAGCUCCCCCUCUGUUGUUACCCCUGGGGCAGCUCUGGCAGUUUCCUGAGUGCAGUUUUUUAUCCUCCCUUAAGACAGCUGCUCAUCCAAUUUUAUUCCUGAUGAGUGCUGUAAAUUUACAAAACAUGCUGUGUUUUAUAUAUUAGUGUGAAAUCUGAGGAGCUAAACAUCAGAAUUGGGGGCUCAGGUGCCAACGAUUUCUGAUCACAUUUCCAAUUAAUUGGUCAUAUUUUCUAUCAAAAUAAAACAUCUUGGAGGUUUUGUGAUUCCUUGGUGAAGUUCUGCAUUUUCCCUAAAAGUACGUGCACUCUAAGGAAUAGGAUUGCUCGGCUGUUGCCAAAAGUCUCAUUUUUUUCAUAUGGCCAGCCUCUCAACUCCAAAUCCUGAGCAGGGCUCGAAACAGCCAUCUAGGAGCUAGGCAAUCAGUACAAGACUUGGAAGAAGUGCUCAGACCACCAAGGCAGGGGUCCCCUGUUGCUCAGAAGCCCAGGCAUCACUCUGAACCCCACUGGUCUUUCUCUGCACUGGAACCCAGAGAGCAGCCCAGCACAGCUGCCAGGCAGGGCUGGAGCUCAGGUGCUGCCGACACAGCCUGGAUCUUUUCUUCGCUCCCGUCCUCCCAUUGGCCUCUUCCAGCAUUAACUCAAAUUCCCAGCUCCCAGCUCAAGACCACCUCCAGAUUUCCUCACCCACACCACCUUCCCCGGGCCCUGGGGCAUCCAGAAAUCCCCCAUGACCCUGGUUCUCAAAUGCAGCUCAGAAUCACCUGGCUGGUUCUCAUGAAUGGAGUUUCCAGAGACCCACUCCUGACCUUUCUGGAGCAGGAGGUCUGGGUGGAGUCUACCUGCCUAAUAUGGGACCAGUUCCUCAAGUCCAGAUAAGCUGACCCCACCCA
ensembl:lncRNA